GGUUACCCACGUGUAACACUCUCGUAUUUUCCUCACUGCCUUAGUUGAUCCCCUUUCUGUCUCUCUUCUCUCGGCUCAUAGACUUCCCCGAAAUGGGAUGUUGACUGGUCUCCUCGCCGGCGAAGUUCAAUCUCGUCGCUGGCGACCACAGAAUGGAUCCACGAUGAACCUCCGCUCCUCUUCUUGGUUUUAGUUCAUCUGAUUAUGCAUCCUCUGGUCAAGGCUUCAAACCCUAGCCACUGUGGUCUGGAUCGAGGCGGAUUGGAGUUGCUGCACGGACUGCUCGGCGCAGUGGUUCUCUCAGGCGGAGUAGGAUACAGGCCUUUGUAAUCGUUAUUGCAGCCGGACUUCUACCACUGUGAGAAGUUGGUCGGCAAGACUGCAUUGGACGUCAAGUUGUACAUUGAUGGUGUGUCUUCGUCUGGAGUUGAGUUGCAUGUCCAGCCGUCAUCUUUAUCAUUCAAGCAGAGUUUCUCGAGCCAAUCAUCAAGAACAAAUGUUCUAUUAACUAAUUUUGUGUGCCAAAGCUGAUGUUACUAUCAUUGAGCUUGAAUCAAAAAAUAAGUCUUUUUCCAUAGGCUUCAUCUGCGUGAGAAAUCCAACGACAUCUGUAUAUUUGGAGAUUAAUUACAUGGCUGAUAGAAAUAUUAAUAGUCGAAAGUCAUAGGUACAACUAUAACAUACCUGCGCAUUGUAUAUCUUUUUCUGCCCGUUCUUGUAGUUUUCCUUGGUUGUGAAACUGAAGUAAAAAUCUGGGAAAACCUCUGCAGAUCCUUUAACCUCCUUUA